rnacentral:rRNA from 1 species
CGCCCGCUACAGAAACUACAAAGGAAUUGACGGGACCCCGCACAAGCGGUGGAUCAUGUUGUUUAAUUCGAUGAUACGCGAAGAACCUUACCAGGUCUUGACAUCCCCCGCGAUGCUUUAGAGAUAAAGCGGAGGUAUUCGGGGAGACAGGUGGUGCAUGGUUGUCGUCAGCUCGUGUCGUGAGAUGUUGGGUUAAGUCCCGCAACGAGCGCAACCCCUAUUGCUAGUUACCAUCAUUAAGUUGGGGACUCUAGCGAGACUGCCAGUGAUAAACUGGAGGAAGGUGGGGAUGACGUCAAAUCAUCAUGCCCCUUAUGACCUGGGCUACAAACGUGAUACAAUGGCUGGAACAAAGGGAUGCGAAGCAGUGAUGUGGAGCGAAACCCAUAAAAACAGUCUCAGUUCGGAUUGAAGUCUGCAACUCGACUUCAUGAAGUCGGAAUCGCUAGUAAUCGCGGAUCAGAACGCCGCGGUGAAUACGUUCUCGGGGUUU